rnacentral:rRNA from 1 species
CCCGGGUCUUGUACACACCGCCCGUCACACCAUGGGAGUGGAAUCCGCCAGAAGUAGGUAGUCUAACCGCAAGGGGACGCUACCACGGUAGGUUUCAUGACUGGGGUG